rnacentral:rRNA from 1 species
UGGUGGAGCGAUUUGUCUGGUUAAUUCCGAUAACGAACGAGACUCUAGCCUAUUAAAUAGUUCGCCGAUUUUUCGAGUCGGCGUCAACUUCUUAGAGGGACAAGUAUCGUAUAGGCACGCGAGAUUGAGCAAUAACA